GGCUUAAUUUGACUCAACACGGGGAAACUCACCCGGUCCGGACACUGGAAGGAUUGACAGAUUAAAAGCUCUUUCUUGAUUCAGUGGGUGGUGGUGCAUGGCCGUUCUUAGUUGGUGGAGUGAUUUGUCUGGUUAAUUCCGAUAACGAACGAGACUCUAGCCUGCUAACUAGUUCGCCGGCAGCUCUUGUCGCGCGGCGCCGCUUCGGCGGCAAACUUCUUAGAGGGACAGGUGGCGUUUAGCCACACGAAGUAGAGCAAUAACAGGUCUGUGAUGCCCUUAGAUGUCCGGGGCCGCACGCGCGCUACACUGAAAGAAUCAACGUGGAUGCCCACCUGCUCCGAGAGGAGUGGGAAACCCGAUGAAUCUCUUUCGUGAUGGGGAUUGGGGCUUGUAAUUGUUCCCCAUGAACGAGGAAUUCCCAGUAAGCGUCAGUCAUCAGCUGGCGCUGAUUACGUCCCUGCCCUUUGUACACACCGCCCGUCGCUACUACCGAUUGAAUGGUUUAGUGAGACCCUCGGACUGGAGUCCGUCCGCCGCUUUCGGGUGGUGGAUGGGGACGGAAAGACGGUCGAACUUGAUCAUUUAGAGGAAGUAA
rnacentral:rRNA from 1 species